rnacentral:rRNA from 1 species
CCCUGCGGGCGGGGAGACCUGCCCGCAAACCGAACCCCGGCGCGGAAUGCGCCAAGGAAAUCGAACCAAGAGAGCCACGUUGGAGGCCCCGGACACGGUGUGCCCCCGACGUCGGCGCUUUAAGAAUUAUUCAAAACGACUCUCGGCAACGGAUAUCUAGGCUCUCGCAUCGAUGAAGAACGUAGCGAAAUGCGAUACUUGGUGUGAAUUGCAGAAUCCCGCGAAUCAUCGAGUUUUUGAACGCAAGUUGCGCCCGAAGCCAUUCGGCCGAGGGCACGUCUGCCUGGGUGUCACGCAUCGUUGCCCCCCCAAACUCCGGUUCGGGCGGGGCGGAAGUUGGCCUCCCGUGCGUGCCUGCGCGCGCGGUUAGCCCAAAAGCGAGUCCUCGGCGACGAUCGCCACGACAAUCGGUGGUUUUCUUGCCCUCGUUCCUCGUCGUGCGUGCCUCGUCGCUCGAACGCGRUYCUUGACCCUCACGCGUCGUCGCCUCGGCGGCGCUCCCAACGCGAC